rnacentral:rRNA from 1 species
UAAUACAGAGGGUGCGAGCGUUAAUCGGAAUUACUGGGCGUAAAGGGUGCGUAGGUGGUUAGAUCAGUUAGGUGUGAAAGUCCUGGGCUUAACCUGGGGAUUGCGCCUAAUACUGUGUAGCUAGAGUACUGUAGAGGAAAGUGGAAUUUCCGGUGUAGCGGUGAAAUGCGUAGAUAUCGGAAGGAACAUCAGUGGCGAAGGCGACUUUCUGGACAGCUACUGACACUGAGGCACGAAAGCGUGGGGAGCAAACAGGAUUAGAUACCCUGGUAGUCCAUGCUGUAAACGAUGAAGACUGGCUGUUGGGAACCUUAGGGUUCUUAGUAGCGAAGCUAACGCGUUAAGUCUUCCGCCUGGGGAGUACGGCCGCAAGGUUA